UAUUAGCUAGAAUGAUGGUUCAGUUAGAUGUACGAGGUCACAUUAUACGAUCUAAAACUGUUUGGGGCUUAAGUUCUGCCUGAUUAGUGAUG